AUGCUGCUUAUCCUACAGCCUCCAAAUUUAACUGUCCCAACAAGUCACACAAACAAAGCAGUAGUUUUCAUUGCCUUCUGCUUAGACAAAAUUGAAAUAUUUGCCAUGAAAUAUCUGGAUUCUAAUAUUUUACAGGAUUCUACCUCACCAUCUUACAACCGUCAGAGUGAACGGGAGUCAUAUUCUUCUGGAGCUAGUCAAUAUGGUGGACAAGUAAGCUCUUACUUUCAAUAUUUCUGCAUGAUAUGUAUUUUACCAAUAUUUUACGGAGUAAAACAUUAUCAGGAUAAAUAUCUCAGUUUAAUGUUGAGGAAGCCUUAUAGUGAUGUAUUCUCUGUAGUGUAUUCAAAGAAGACGAAAUGCGAAGUUUAUUCUGUGAAGAUUACAAAAAUAAAAACCCACAAUGAAAUAACAAAAUACUGAUAUUUUUGGUUCCGAUAUCCAUCAAUCAUCUAUGCCAUGUGAAAUAGAAAAAAAGAUUUUUAAUAUUUUUCCAGGGAUCACCAUCUUAUGGAAGCAGCCAUUAUGGUGGACAAGUAAGCAUUCAUAGUCCUCUUAAAUAUUUUUUACCUAUGUGUAACUUCGGUGCAUUGAUUGUCUACCCACCUGUCUACCUUAACUUAAUGUAAGUUAGUCUUAAGUAAAUCUUUAUUGUAGCACUGUGGUUGCUACUGUGAUUAAACCAAAUAAGUUUAGAUGAAGACCAUAUUUAAAAUUAAGAAGGAAUAGAGUAAGUCAUGUGGUUGACUCUGUUGGCUCCUGACCCUUGCAGAACGAGGUCAUAAAAUUAUGUAUGAGUACAGUUCCUUGGGGUAAUGUGUCACCUCUUUCUGAAAUAAAUUAGUACUUCGUGAGGUUGAUGAAAAAUGAUUAAAGCCUCAUGGGUAAAAAGAAGUUUCAGUUUCUUUUUUGUUGAUGUUCAGGGUUCACCUUACUCUGGAGGCAGCCAAUAUGGAGGGCAGGUGAGAAAAAAUACAAAAAACUGUGAUGGGCCAGUAUUUCCGUUGUAUCACCUUAAAUACAUUUUUAGCCUUGUUCUACCUUCUGACUUAAUCUCCUCAUUCUAGAACCUACUUGUCUUCUGCUGCUGUCGUGGUUCCUUAGCUCUCUAAUAGUAAGGAGUGGCUGGAAGUGGGUUAUAUUUCUCCUAUAUCUCAACCAAUGAAAUAACUCACUUCUCUCAGAGCUGAGAGAGAGCUGACAUCAGAGAAAUGAUGUGCCUCAGGAAGGGAACAGAGGAGAAGGUUAAGUGUUGUUAAGAGAAGAUGUUCUAUGCUCUUAUGGGGUGAAAGAGGAUUGACAGGGAUCCUAGUGUUGUCUUGUGGUGUAACCUUUCAUAUACAGCAAAAUCUCCAUCAAACUAGCUCUUGGCUUCUGUAAGUAUUUCUUGUCAGAUUUAAUUGGAAAGGGAAUUCGAAGAUAAAAAUUUUCAGUCAAGUAACUUCCCUCAAAAUGCAACUAUGUAUAGAAUAAUAAUAGCUCAUGAUCACUCUGUGCUAUCGGUGUUAUAGAAGAUUCAUACAUUACAGACAGACCCUAAUUCACAUAGAACACAAAAAAUAAUAGGAUGAUUGCUUUUCUAUAAUCUUCCAUUGUACAACAGAGAAAGAAAGUAGCCUUUCUUUCAAAAAUUCUCAAAGAGCCCUUUUGAUAGAAAUAAUUGGUUUCUUUGUGUCAGGGUCCAUCUUCCUCAGGUGGCAGCCAGUAUGGAGGGCAGGUGAGAACUUUUUUUCCUACAUGUGGAUUGUUGUUCAGUUGUUCAUCUUUCUCUCUUCUUUUCUGUGAAAAACAAGGUCCUUUAUAAAGGCUUGGCUUAAAGCAAAGCACUGUUCAGGCAGAACGGGUGAAUGUGACAUCUUCUGUGUCAGCCCAUGCAGGAAAAUGAAACACACAAAUCUGCCCUGAGCAGUGAAUCAUUUGCAGAUGGGCCAUGCACAGUUACCUGAAGCUGCCUUUAAUUUAAAAUUUCUUGUCCUGUUUUAAACUGUGUAGCAGUUUUAAACAAUAAAUCAAUAUUUUAAAAUAGCUUUAAAGAAAG
rnacentral:lncRNA from 1 species